CCCGCCUCAGGGUUGCCUCCUGAUACCUUCCCGUGUAGGAAAAUGAUUUUGUCCCGCGCAGACUCCCUCAGCACUUUCUGCACUCUGAAGCCGGAGAAUGUUCAGAAACAAACUUACUGAGAACAGAUGAAUGAAACCUUGCCUGUCCUAUAAGGAAUACAGUCAUCUGCCAGAAGAAAAAUGCUGAUUCUUCCCAGUCCAAAGGUGAAGAUGGUGACUGUGAAAGUAUCAGCUUUAGCCAGACCACAGAUGAAGCUCUCAGAUGUCACAGCAUCCAUGGGCUUGUGAUCUCAGCUUUCUGAAGUGAAUCGAUGUCUCUGGAAGGAGGAACAGAGUAGCGUGAGUGUGAAGGACUGGAUUUCUCUUGCUUUCUCCUGACACCCAUUCCAGGGUUUCCCCAGGCAACUGGGAAGACCAUCCACGGUGAGGCCUGCAAUCUCGGCUUCUUGCUGAUCAGUCAGCAAUGGAAACCUGGUGGUCAGUGAGGAAACCAAGGCACAGAAGGGUAGCUUACAACGCAUGACAGCUUCUUUGACUUGGCGAAAGCCACCAUCAGGGCCCCUGCCAUCGACGUAGUACAUGAAUCGGAGCUCAGGUGGGUAGGCAUCUCUGCUGAGGCCCGACAGCAGGGGGAUGGUGCGGCCCUCAGCCCCUGGGGCCUCGGUCAGGGCCUGCAGCAUCUGGUACUUGCACCAGGGGUCCUGAAGGAAGCCCGGCGUGAUGAGCAGCACACGGCAGUGACUAUUGUUCAGUGCCUGGCACAGCUCGGACACAAUAGCACCACCUGGGGUUGCAUCCCGGAGCUGCAGGAAGCAGCGCAGGCUGGUGCUGCUGCCUUCCAGGGAGGAGCCCCGCCUCACAGCGAGGACAGACAGACUGCAGUCCGCGUCCCUGCACUGGGAAACAUCGCAUUCUCAGAGACCUGUUGCUCCACUAUUUUUUUUUUUGUUUUGAGACGGAGUCUCACUCUCACCUAGUCUGGAGUACAGUGGCGUGAUCUUGGCUCACUGCAACCUCCACCUCCCAGGUUCAAACAAUUCUCCUGCCUCAGCCUCCUGCGUAGUUGGGAUUACAGAUGGUUCUGGAACAAAGAUUUAGACAACGAGAGACAGUGCUAAGCCCUCAGCACCGUGGUUUCCAGGCUGGGAAAGCUAGCUGAGCAGGCUUGGAAAACCUCUGAGCCAAAAGGAUCAAGAUCUGGCUGAGCUGACGCAGGCCUCGCCUCCUCACUCUCCACCACGCGUCCAGGCCCUGAAGUCAGGUCAGGAGUCCCCCCGUCAGCCUUCCUGUGUCUCUCUCUGAGUUGGGACCAGGCAGGCCUCCCACCACGCCCUAUGGAGACUGAGCACUACACUCAGGAACACAGCAGUCGCGAGUCCGGUUCCACUCACCAGCCAUCUUGCCUAGAGGCUUCUUAGGCCGAGAGCCAGGAGCUGGGAGGGAGGUCGAUGAUGCCAUAGCGUGGGGGUCAAAACUAGCCCCGUGAGACCAGGCAUCGGUAAAGGGGGAGGAGGGAGAAGACCCAGUCUUGACCUCAUGGAGCAGCCAUCCUACAGAGGGCAGAGAGAGAGAAUCACAAAGGCUGCACUUACCCUGCUCUCAUUCCCCGUGGAUGAGCUCUGGGAAGUUCUGUUUCUCUCCUAAUGCCUGACAGAGCCUUCCUCUCUAAAAGGGUCCUUCAUUCCUCAUGAGAUUAGGGCCAGACACGACUGUGAUUGGAGCUGGGUUCUAGAUAAAGCCAGAGCUAUGUAGUGUGGUCAGACUUACAGGGUAUGAGCUCAGCAUGACCAGCUGAGGGACUGUUCUCUGCUCCACCUGGCCAGGAGGAUAUUCAGGAUCUGGGGAAGGGCAGCUGUCAGGCAGCUCUUUAGAAGGACUUCCUAUGUAAGGCCUGAAAUGGUAGAAGAAGGACAGUUGCUAUUUGGACAAAUAAUUACGUAUCCAGAUAGACAGAAGCUGAACAGUAGAGAGAGAGCACGUGCAGGAAAUCUUGGGAGACUUUUCCUCCAAGUCUGCCUCCCCCUGAAUAACUAUCCGUAGACCCAUCGCUUCUGCAGCCAGCAGCUCAGGAAGGUCAUGUCAAAAAGUGGUGAAGACUGCAGACUGCAGGUAGAGUGCCUGAUUCUCAUCUCUGGUUAACCGUGGCCUUUGGCCAUCUUACUAAACUCCAGUUUCCCCAUCCAUGAAAUGGAAGUACUAAAGCCUCCUUCUCAGCAUUAUUGUGAAGAUUAAAUGAAAUAAUUUAUGUAAAAUCCUAA